CCUGUAACACAGUCCUCUGGGAAAAUAAACUUUUGCUGUUCAGAAACACUUAGAUUUUAUCUCAAAUUAGAAACUACACAAAUACAUAGAUAAAAAUAUCGCCACCCAUAACUUUCUGAAUGUCUCUUUCUGUCCUAGGUCCAUUUGUGAUGAACACAAAUGAAGAAAUUUCUGAGGCCAUUCUUGAUUUCAGAAAUGCAAAAAAUGGGUUCGAAAGGGCUAAAACCUGGAAAUCAAAGAUCGGAAACUAGUGAAGAGCCCAGAAUAGGUCUUGAUGCUUCCUAGAAUUUUGCCAUUUGUGGUGUCCAGCCAUUUGAGGCAUUCAGUUUCCAAAACUGACUUAGCCAGUGCUUCUAAAGAAUUCCACAUUAAAGUGAUAACAUGGUUUUUGUGGCAAUGUAUGUAGGAUA
rnacentral:lncRNA from 1 species